rnacentral:rRNA from 1 species
GAUCAUGGCUCAGGAUGAACGCUAGCUACAGGCUUAACACAUGCAAGUCGAGCGGAACACCUCGGGUGUUAGCGGCAGACGGGUGAGUAACACGUAUCCAACCUUUCCCUUACUCGGGUAUAGCCUCGGGAAACUGAGAGUAAUCCCCGAUGUGGUGCACGGAAAGCAUUUUUUGCGCACGAAAGAUUUAUCGGUAAGGGGUGGGGAUGCGUUCCAUUAGGUAGUAGGCGGGGUAACGGCCCACCUAGCCGAUGAUGGAUAGGGGUUCUGAGAGGAAGGUCCCCCACAUUGGAACUGCGACACGGUCCAAACUCCUACGGGAGGCAGCAGUGAGGAAUAUUGGUCAAUGGGCGAGAGCCUGAACCAGCCAAGUAGCGUGCAGGAAUGACGGCCCUAUGGGUUGUAAACUGCUUUUGUGCGGGAAUAACGGUCGCCACGUGUGGUGAUGUGCAUGUACCGUACGAAUAAGGAUCGGCUAACUCCGUGCCAGCCGCCGC